rnacentral:rRNA from 1 species
UACGUAGGGUGCAAGCGUUGUCCGGAAUUAUUGGGCGUAAAGAGCUCGUAGGCGGUCUGUCGCGUCGGCUGUGAAAACCCGGGGCUCAACCCCGGGCCUGCAGUCGAUACGGGCAGACUAGAGUGCGGUAGGGGAGACUGGAAUUCCUGGUGUAGCGGUGAAAUGCGCAGAUAUCAGGAGGAACACCGGUGGCGAAGGCGGGUCUCUGGACAGUUCCUGACGCUGAGGCACGAAGGCCAGGGAAGCAAACAGG